rnacentral:rRNA from 1 species
CCUACGGGGCGCAGCAGUGGGGGAUAUUGCACAAUGGGGGGAACCCUGAUGCAGCGACGCCGCGUGGGUGAAGGAGUAUUUCGGUAUGUAAAGCCCUAUCGGCAGGGAAGAAAUUGGACGGUACCUGACUAAGAAGCCCCGGCUAACUACGUGCCAGCAGCCGCGGUAAUACGUAGGGGGCAAGCGUUAUCCGGAUUCACUGGGUGUAAAGGGAGCGUAGACGGCCAUGCAAGCCAGGGGUGAAAGCCCGGGGCCCAACCCCGGGACUGCCCUUGGAACUGCAUGGCUGGAGUGCGGGAGGGGCAGGCGGAAUUCCUGGUGUAGCGGUGAAAUGCGUAGAUAUCAGGAGGAACACCGGCGGCGAAGGCGGCCUGCUGGACCGCGACUGACGUUGAGGCUCGAAAGCGUGGGGAGCGAACAGGAUUAGAUACCCUAGUAGUC